CUUCAUCUUCCUAGUUGCCUUCUCCAAUUGAGCCCGAGCUAGCUCAUUAGUGGGCCACUCCUUGGCCGUCUUGUAUGCAGCAUGGCUACUCCUCGCGCAGCCUGACACCACUGUGUUAGGUGUUAUAGGUUGUUGUCCUAUUACCAACUCAAAAGGACUUGACCCUAUCAACUCUAACCGCUGCAAGUUGUAUGAGAACUGAGCAACAUCCAACAACUUUGCCCAAUCUCGCUGGUUGGCACUCAUAUAGUGCCUCAAGUAUAGCUC
rnacentral:lncRNA from 1 species